GAAUCCCCAGCAGACACCACCGUCUACUGCGAGCCAAGGCGGACGCGGCCACCUGCAGCAGCAAAAGUCGUCAUCUGCGAGCCAUGGCGGACGCGGCCACCACCAGCAGCAGAAGCAGAAGCAAUUGUCUGGGACUGGGCGCCAUGGCCAACCCCUGGUGGAGGUGUUUUCCGUGCGUGCCAACUUCCCUGUAGUCGGCACCAUCGCCGUCUUUGACGGGAAACGCGGGCAGAUCAUCUACGAUUCCGA
rnacentral:lncRNA from 1 species